AUUGCUUCUUGGCCUUUUGGCUAAGAUCAAGUGUAGUAUCUGGUACCUAUGGACCUCUUUAAUUCAAACUAGGGUAAUAUGGACUAGUAAAUAAAAAUGACCCAGCUGGAGACACUCUAAAGGGGCAUUGUGGCAUUGAUAUUAAUUUUAGUCUUUGCCAAUUAGA
ensembl:snRNA U2 U2 spliceosomal RNA